rnacentral:rRNA from 1 species
UACGUAGGGGGCAAGCGUUGUCCGGAAUUAUUGGGCGUAAAGGGUGCGUAGGUGGCGCCGUAAGUCGGGUGUGAAAUUUCGGAGCUUAACUCCGAAACUGCAUUCGAUACUGCGGUGCUUGAGGACUGGAGAGGAGACUGGAAUUCAUGGUGUAGCAGUGAAAUGCGUAGAGAUCAUGAGGAAGACCAGUGGCGAAGGCGGGUCUCUGGACAGUUCCUGACACUGAGGCACGAAGGUCAGGGGAGCAAACGGG